UACGCGCAGAUGAAGAGCACUAUGCAGCCCGCGUAUCCCUUGGAUAGAGUGGCCACCCCACUUGUCCCAAAUUUUACGCCAAUCAAAGUGCCCACAAUGAUCUGCACGGCAAGAGUUUUUGGUUCUAUCGAUAAGAAAAGCACUCUGCGACCUGCCUUAUCAACAGUAGCAAUAGAGACAAAUGUGGCAAACAUGUUGACGAGGCCGGUGAUAACAGCGGACAUUAGAGACGCAUCAUCGCCGAAACCGAUGGUCUUGAAGAGAACCGGUGCGUAAAACAUGAUAACAUUAAUGCCUGUGAGCUGCUGGAAGAAAGGAAUGAGGAUGGCCAUGGUAAGUUGCGGCCUAUACUUCUUUUCUAGUAUAUUCCUCCAUGGAUGCUUGAUUCCUUUGGAUUCCUCACUGGCGGCCACGAGAUCAUCAUACUCAUCUUGAACAUCUUUAGUGCCGCGGAUCUUCAAAAGCAUUUCUUUAGCUUUUUCUGUGUGCCCUCGCUCAAUGAGGGAGUUUGGGGUGUCGGGGAGGAGAAGGGAGCCGAGGGUGAUGAUGGCAGCAGGGACUGCAGCAAGUCCCAAACUAACACGCCAACCCCAGUUGCCAGCAAUCUUCGCGGUGCCGUAGUUGAUGAGGUUGGCAGCUAGUAUUCCAAUUGUGAUCAUGAGUUGAAAUCCAAUGUUAAGCAUACCACGGAGUUUGGGCGGUGCCAUCUCUGAGAGGUACACGGGCACAGACUGAUACCGAAGCAAAGAAUAUAAUGACGACUUGGUCAAUACUCAGACUACACGUACUUCAUAUAAUUAUGUAAAACUAUGAGUGAAAUUAAGUACUAGUGUAGAUUCUGCGUCUUUAUUCACAUCUUUUGAUUAUGAUGAUGAUUAGUGGCGGUAUCGUUUCACUUUCAUGUUGUUAAACUUUAUUGCUAACAUUGAAUGUACGUAGAGAAAGCAAAAUUAAUAACACCAUUAUGCAUGUAGCAAA